rnacentral:rRNA from 1 species
GCAUAUCAAUAAGCGGAGGAAAAGAAACCAACAGGGAUUGCCCUAGUAACGGCGAGUGAAGCGGCAACAGCUCAAAUUUGAAAUCUGGCCCUCGGGUCCGAGUUUGUAAUUUGUAGAGGAUGCUUUUGGCGCGGUGCCUUCCGAGUUCCCUGGAACGGGACGCCUUAGAGGGUGAGAGCCCCGUACGGUUGGACACCAAGCCUCUGUAAAGCUCCUUCGACGAGUCGAGUAGUUUGGGAAUGCUGCUCUAAAUGGGAGGUAAAUUUCUUCUAAAGCUAAAUAUUGGCCAGAGACCGAUAGCGCACAAGUAGAGUGAUCGAAAGAUGAAAAGCACUUUGAAAAGAGGGUUAAAUAGCACGUGAAAUUGUUGAAAGGGAAGCGUUUGCGACCAGACCUUUUCCUAGGGGAUCAUCCGGUGUUCUCACCGGUGCACUUCCCUAGGUUCAGGCCAGCAUCGGUUUCUGUAGGGGGAUAAAAGCUCUGGGAACGUAGCUCCCUCGGGAGUGUUAUAGCCCUCUGCAUAAUACCCUUACGGGGACCGAGGACCGCGCUUCGGCAAGGAUGCUGGCGUAAUGGUCGUCAACGACCCGUCUUGAAACACGGACCAAGGAGUCGAACAUUUGUGCGAGUGUUUGGGUGUUAAACCCUCACGCGUAAUGAAAGUGAACGGAGGUGAGAGCCCUUACGGGUGCAUCAUCGACCGAUCCUGAUGUCUUCGGAUGGAUUUGAGUAAGAGCAUAACUGUUCGGACCCGAAAGAUGGUGAACUAUGCGUGGAUAGGGUGAAGCCAGAGGAAACUCUGGUGGAGGCUCGCAGCGGUUCUGACGUGCAAAUCGAUCGUCAAAUCUGCGCAUGGGGGCGAAAGACUUAUCGAACCAUCUAGUAGCUGGUUACCGCCGAAGU